GAGAGCGCCAAAACGCAACAAGGACACCCACCCAUACACGAUCCCUGUUGUGGGUUAACGUGAACAGGAAAUACUAGCCCCGUAUGACCACAAAUGGAUGUCAAAUAUCACCACACUCGAUCUCAAGGGAACCUCAUACAUAAUUAAGUAAACGUACUAAUCAUUCUCAUGACUAGGACCGUUCCUGCGAGAGAGCUGCUUUUCUGACGUUACGGGUGCAAUAUUGAUACGUGUUUACUACCAACAUGGAACUAGAGGAAACAGACGCCAAAGGUUCCAUGCUCAUGCUCCCUGAUAGUUCUCUGAAACGAGGCUGGCGGAAGCAGAAGGACGGAAGGGAGACAACCGCAGAUGACACAAAAUGUGGGAUUGGAGUUUGCACACCAAAUUGUAUUCAAUGUUGCGGCUCAAUGGCUGCUUUUACGGCAGUUUACAGUUUUUCAGGACUGCUCACGACUGCCUUGCAAGUCUAUAUAUCCUCCCAAAUCACAGCCCUUGAGCGUCAUUUUGGCUUCAGCAGCUCCGUCAGUGGUUUUCUUAUAAGUUGCAAUGAGAUAGGAUUCGUGUUGGUCACUGUCGUUAUGAGUUAUUUCAUUCGGAGACUGCACAUCCCCCGAUUGUUGUCCCUGACAACUUUGUUCUACGGCAUUGCGGGUUUGAUAUGCGUUAUACCAUUUAUAUUAACACGCGAUUUAAUAAAUCCUGCAAGUGACUCAAACAUCACGUCUGUCUUUCAAACUGGACCACUGUGUCAUCUGGAGGUCACCGUUGCCCCGACGUCUCCGGCAAAUUCAACGGGGAAAGCCGAGUGCAGCGAUACCAAGUUUUCGUAUGUACAGGACGAGACGAUGAAGAAGAUCUCCAUUGCUCUCUUCGCCCUGGGGAUGCUUAUCCAAGGUGUCGGUAAAGCCCCUAGGGCUCCAGGGCUCACGACGUACGUUGAUGAUAAUGUUCCGAAAACCAAAACAGCCAUGUACAUGGGUUUCAUCAUGGGGACUUCAAUCUGUGCCAUGGCCAUAGCCUUCGGUGUCGGAGGAGUGUUCAGCAAGAUGUUCAUCACAUUACAAGCAACGAACAUAACUCCGACGCAUCCUCGGUGGCUCGGGGCAUGGUGGCUGGGAUUCCUGGUGUUCGGGAUGCUGUCAAUCAUCUUCUCCUUCCCCAUCAUGUGUUUCCCCCGACGGAUGAGGUCAGCUGAAGACAGGGCGGGAACUCAAGGCAAGACACCCAUUAAAGUCACAGGCUUCCUGAGCGCUCUGGUUCGACUCGUUAGCAACCCUAUCUACUUCCCCAUCGUCAUGGGCAACUGUGUCACCCUCUUCAGCAUCGGCGGGAUGAUGGCCUUCAUCCCCAAAUACAUGGAGACACAGUUCACGUUGCCAGCCUGGAAGUCAAACAUGAUCAUUGGUGGUUUAAGCAUAGUUACGAACUGUGCGGGAACAAUCAUUGGCGGGAUUGUGACAUCAAAGAUGAAGUUAUCUCCCUUGACUUGUCUGAAGGUGACAGUGGGAAUUAUCUUCUUCUCCCUUGUUAUACAAACAUCGCUGAACUUCCUAGGUUGCGAGAAUCCCGUCAUUAGCAAAGGAGAGAUGACCCCUCGGAACACUACAAUGUACAUUGGUACACACAAUUCAACCUCGUUUACGAUGACCCCCUCUAGUGGAUGUAACAGUGACUGUGGCUGCACAAACACCAUCUACUUCCCUAUGUGUGGCGCCGACGGUGUCAACUACUUCUCCCCCUGCCACGCCGGCUGCAGCGACUUCAGCAUCAAUCAUACCUACUCCAACUGCUCAUGCGUGGGCGGAAGUAUGAAAACAGCGACACCUGGACUGUGUACUCCGGAAUGCCCUAUGUUCUACGCCUUCGCUGCAGUGACAGUGGUUGGGGGAUUUAUCAUGACAAUGGCGGCGAUGCCAGUUCUUAUUGCUGUCAUAAGAAGUGUCAGCGAGGAAGACAAGCCGGUUGCUGUAGGUUUGGGUGGAUUUUUAUACACGCUUUUAGGCUUCCUACCAGGGCCGAUAUUGUUCGGUUGGUUGAUUGACAAAGCCUGCCUUCACUGGAAUUCCGGAUGUGGAGGGAAAGGCGCAUGCGCACUAUACGACAUAGAGUUGUUCCGGUACCUGGUGAUGGGCAUACCGUCCGUGGCUCGGGUCUUGACUCUUCUCUUGUACACGUUUGCUCUGUGCAUGGCGCUAAGGCCGGACUCGAGAUACCGAAAAUAUGAGGCGGAGCAAGGCACAAAGGAAGAAAAAAUGAAAAUGAAACCAAUAUAGAAAUUUAAUACCAUUCUUAACCUGUUUCAUGUCUUCAUUCCAGAAAGAAGCAUUGCAUCUUGCUAAACUCACUUGGAUAUGCCACCGUAAGAAUCCUCGAAUAUUUUAACUGUUUACUUACGGAAAGGGAGUGAUACAGUGUUACGUUUCCAAAGACAACUUAGUGGAAAAUUAGUUUAAUUAAUUACAAAUCCCCAUACGGUCUCUACAUGUUAUGGACUUGGACAAAUAUAUUGGGUUUUGGGGUUGCCUUGUGGUAAAGUCGUUUUCUCCCCAAACAGAAGUUCCUGGUUCCAUUUCCCGCACGGACGGAUACUGUGCGUGAAGUUAAUCCUUGGUGAAAUUUAUCAUUGGUGUUCGCACGGUGAUAGCUGACAAUAUCAGCGUACACCAUUCUCACGUACACACAAAUAGUGCAGUUCUACCUCAGUGUCCGGGAGAGAACACUUUGAGUGAGUGAGUAUGGUUUUACGCCGCUUUUAGCAAUAUUCCAGCAAUAUCACGGCGGGGGACACCAGAAAUGGGCUUCACACAUUGUACCCAUGUCGGGAAUCGAACCCGGGUCUUCGGCUUGACGAGCGAACGCUUUAACUACUAGGCUACCCGACUGCCCCGAGAACACCUUGAAGGGCAAGUCGAAAGAGCCAAGCAAUCGUUUGCGGACAAACAGUGAAAACUAUCAUUUUGGUAAAUUCUGAGGCAAAAAUAUUUUAUUCCAGGAUUUCGGAAACAUAUUUUUGAAACUCCAAGCUCCCCUACUUCAUCCUGCGUAACCAGUUUCACCCUCCUGUUGCUCACCAACACAAAGCCACAAACACAAUCUCAUUAAAAUCAGAUUUUAUUGUCGCUACUGCUAAACAAAGAUCUGAGGACGUCCCUUUAGGGGUCACGUCAGAACAAACUUUCAUCCGACCAGUCAGUGCGUCGCUUACCAGAUCA
rnacentral:misc_RNA from 1 species